UACAGAGGUCUCAAGCGUUGUUCGGAUUCAUUGGGCGUAAAGGGUGUGUAGGUGGCGCCGUAAGUCGGGUGUGAAAUCUCAGGGCUUAACCCUGAAACUGCACUCGAUACUGCUCUGCUUGAGGACUGGAGAGGAGACUGGAAUUCACGGUGUAGCAGUGAAAUGCGCAGAUAUCGGGAGGAACACCGGUGGCGAAGGCGGUUCUCUGGGCCUGUACUGACGCUGAGGAGCGAAAGCGUGGGGAGCGAACAGG
rnacentral:rRNA from 1 species